GGAGAGGGUCAAACAUCUGCUGUCCCAUGCUUGGGAGAGAGGAAAGUCCGAACACCAUAGGGCAGGAUACUUCUUAAUGGGAAGUCUUUGCGAAGGGGAGCCAGCUCCACAGAAACAAACCGCCUUUCGGGGUAAGGGUGAAACGGUAGCUUAAGAGACUACCAGAUCAUGCCGUGAGGUAUGAUGCUCGGAAAGCCUUAUCAGGUGCAAUGCCAAAUAGGGAAGCAGUCUUCGGACCCGGGUCUGCCCGGCUCGGUUUGCUUUCGGGUAGGCAGCUAAAGCCGGCUUUUUAAAGUCUCAUUUGAGAAUAGCAAUAUCCGGCUUAGAGAAAUAGAUGUUAGAUCACUUGUUAGGUGAUUUACAGAAUUCGGCUUAUGACCGUCUCCGACA
rnacentral:RNase_P_RNA from 1 species